rnacentral:rRNA from 1 species
UAGUCCACGCCGUGAACGAUGUGCGCUGGAUGUUGGGUGACCUAGUCACUCAGUGUCGUAGCUAACGCGGUAAGCGCACCGCCUGGGGAGUACGGCCGCAAGGUUGAAACUUAAAGGAAUUGACGGGGGCCCGCACAGGCGGUGGAGCAUGUGGUUUAAUUCGAAGCAACGCGCAGAACCUUACCAGCCCUUGACAUGGGUCGGACCGGUCCAGAGAUGGACUUUCCCCGCAAGGGGCCGGCCGCAC